rnacentral:rRNA from 1 species
CCUACGGGAGGCAGCAGUGGGGAAUAUUGGACAAUGGGGGCAACCCUGAUCCAGCAAUGCCGCGUGUGUGAUGAAGGCCUUAGGGUUGUAAAGCACUUUCACUGGUGAAGAUGAUGACGGUAGCCAGAGAAGAAGCCCCGGCUAACUUCGUGCCAGCAGCCGCGGUAAUACGAAGGGGGCGAGCGUUGUUCGGAAUUACUGGGCGUAAAGGGCGCGUAGGCGGUCUUUUAAGUUAGGCGUGAAAGCCCCGGGCUCAACCUGGGAACUGCGCUUAAUACUGGAAGACUAGAAAACGGAAGAGGGUAGUGGAAUUCCCAGUGUAGAGGUGAAAUUCGUAGAUAUUGGGAAGAACACCAGUGGUGAAAGCGGCUACCUGGUCCGAUUUUGACGCUGAGGCGCGAAAGCGUGGGGAGCAAACAGGAUUAGAUACCCUGGUAGUCCACGCCGUAAACGAUGUCUGCUAGAUGUCGGGGGGUUGCCCCUCGGUGUCGCCGCUAACGCAUUAAGCAGACCGCCUGGGAAGUACGGUCGCAAGAUUAAAACUCAAAGGAAUUGACGG